rnacentral:rRNA from 1 species
AAUCCAUAGGUUAAUGAGGCGAACCGGGGGAACUGAAACAUCUAAGUACCCCGAGGAAAAGAAAUCAACCGAGAUUCCCCCAGUAGCGGCGAGCGAACGGGGAGGAGCCCAGAGCCUGAAUCAGCAUGUGUGUUAGUGGAAGCGUCUGGAAAGGCGCGCGAUACAGGGUGACAGCCCCGUACACAAAAGCGCAUGUGCUGUGAGCUCGAUGAGUAGGGCGGGACACGUGGUAUCCUGUCUGAAUAUGGGGGGACCAUCCUCCAAGGCUAAAUACUCCUGACUGACCGAUAGUGAACCAGUACCGUGAGGGAAAGGCGAAAAGAACCCCGGCGAGGGGAGUGAAAAAGAACCUGAAACCGUGUACGUACAAGCAGUGGGAGCACAGGUUUACCUGUGUGACUGCGUACCUUUUGUAUAAUGGGUCAGCGACUUAUAUUCUGUAGCAAGGUUAACCGUAUAGGGGAGCCGGAGGGAAACCGAGUCUUAAUUGGGCGUUAAGUUGCAGGGUAUAGACCCGAAACCCGGUGAUCUAGCCAUGGGCAGGUUGAAGGUUGGGUAACACUAACUGGAGGACCGAACCGACUAAUGUUGAAAAAUUAGCGGAUGACCUGUGGCUGGGGGUGAAAGGCCAAUCAAACCGGGAGAUAGCUGGUUCUCCCCGAAAGCUAUUUAGGUAGCGCCUCGUGAAUUCAUCUCCGGGGGUAGAGCACUGUUUCGGCUAGGGGGCCAUCCCGGCUUACCAACCCGAUGCAAACUGCGAAUACCGGAGAAUGUUAUCACGGGAGACACACGGCGGGUGCUAACGUCCGUCGUGAAGAGGGAAACAACCCAGACCGCCAGCUAAGGUCCCAAAGUCAUGGUUAAGUGGGAAACGAUGUGGGAAGGCCCAGACAGCCAGGAUGUUGGCUUAGAAGCAGCCAUCAUUUAAAGAAAGCGUAAUAGCUCACUGGUCGAGUCGGCCUGCGCGGAAGAUGUAACGGGGCUAAACCAUGCACCGAAGCUGCGGCAGCGACGCUUAUGCGUUGUUGGGUAGGGGAGCGUUCUGUAAGCCUGUGAAGGUGGCCUGUGAGGGUUGCUGGAGGUAUCAGAAGUGCGAAUGCUGACAUAAGUAACGAUAAAGCGGGUGAAAAGCCCGCUCGCCGGAAGACCAAGGGUUCCUGUCCAACGUUAAUCGGGGCAGGGUGAGUCGACCCCUAAGGCGAGGCCGAAAGGCGUAGUCGAUGGGAAACGGGUUAAUAUUCCCGUACUUGGUGUUACUGCGAAGGGGGGACGGAGAAGGCUAUGUUGGCCGGGCGACGGUUGUCCCGGUUUAAGCGUGUAGGUGUGUGUUCCAGGUAAAUCCGGUUCACUUUAACACUGAGGCGUGACGACGAGGCACUACGGUGCUGAAGCAACAAAUGCCCUGCUUCCAGGAAAAGCCUCUAAGCAUCAGGUAACAUCAAAUCGUACCCCAAACCGACACAGGUGGUCAGGUAGAGAAUACCAAGGCGCUUGAGAGAACUCGGGUGAAGGAACUAGGCAAAAUGGUGCCGUAACUUCGGGAGAAGGCACGCUGAUAUGUAGGUGAAGUGAUUUACUCAUGGAGCUGAAAUCAGUCGAAGAUACCAGCUGGCUGCAACUGUUUAUUAAAAACACAGCACUGUGCAAACACGAAAGUGGACGUAUACGGUGUGACGCCUGCCCGGUGCCGGAAGGUUAAUUGAUGGGGUCAGCGCAAGCGAAGCUCCUGAUCGAAGCCCCGGUAAACGGCGGCCGUAACUAUAACGGUCCUAAGGUAGCGAAAUUCCUUGUCGGGUAAGUUCCGACCUGCACGAAUGGCGUAAUGAUGGCCAGGCUGUCUCCACCCGAGACUCAGUGAAAUUGAACUCGCUGUGAAGAUGCAGUGUACCCGCGGCAAGACGGAAAGACCCCGUGAACCUUUACUAUAGCUUGACACUGAACAUUGAGCCUUGAUGUGUAGGAUAGGUGGGAGGCUUUGAAGUGUGGACGCCAGUCUGCAUGGAGCCGACCUUGAAAUACCACCCUUUAAUGUUUGAUGUUCUAACGUGGACCCGUGAUCCGGGUUGCGGACAGUGUCUGGUGGGUAGUUUGACUGGGGCGGUCUCCUCCUAAAGAGUAACGGAGGAGCACGAAGGUUGGCUAAUCCUGGUCGGACAUCAGGAGGUUAGUGCAAUGGCAUAAGCCAGCUUGACUGCGAGCGUGACGGCGCGAGCAGGUGCGAAAGCAGGUCAUAGUGAUCCGGUGGUUCUGAAUGGAAGGGCCAUCGCUCAACGGAUAAAAGGUACUCCGGGGAUAACAGGCUGAUACCGCCCAAGAGUUCAUAUCGACGGCGGUGUUUGGCACCUCGAUGUCGGCUCAUCACAUCCUGGGGCUGAAGUAGGUCCCAAGGGUAUGGCUGUUCGCCAUUUAAAGUGGUACGCGAGCUGGGUUUAGAACGUCGUGAGACAGUUCGGUCCCUAUCUGCCGUGGGCGCUGGAGAACUGAGGGGGGCUGCUCCUAGUACGAGAGGACCGGAGUGGACGCAUCACUGGUGUUCGGGUUGUCAUGCCAAUGGCACUGCCCGGUAGCUAAAUGCGGAAGAGAUAAGUGCUGAAAGCAUCUAAGCACGAAACUUGCCCCGA